rnacentral:rRNA from 1 species
GGUUCACGAUCCUGGCUCAGAUUGAACGCUGGCAGGAUGCUACACAUGCAAGUCGAACGGCAGCACGGACUUCGGUCUGGUGGCGAGUGGCGAACGGGUGAGUAAUGUAUCGGAACGUGCCUAAGUAAACGCAGGGAUAGCUUCCACGCGAAAACGUAGCUGUACCGCAUACGCCCGUCGGGGAAAGCGGGGACCUUCGGGCCUCGCACUAUUAAACGGCCGAUAUCGGAUUAGCUAGUUGGUGGGGUAACGGCUCACCAAGGCGACGAUCCGUAGCUGGUUUGAGAGGACGACCAGCCACACUGGGACUGAGACACGGCCCAGACUCACGGGAGGCAGCGGUAGAGGGAAUUUUGGACAAUGGGGAAACCUGAUCCAGCCAUCCCGCGUGUGCGAUGAAGGCCUUCGGGUUGUAAAAACUGCUUUGGCAGGAAAAACGGCACGGGAUAAUACCCCGCUGCAACUGACGAACGCAACCUGCAGAAUAAGCACCGGCUAACUACGUGCCAGCAGCCGCGGUAAUACGUAGGGUGCAAGCGUUAAUCAGGGUACUGGGCGUAAAGCGUGCGCAGGCGGUUCGGAAAGAAAGAUGUGAAAUCCCAAGAGCUUAACUUUGGAACUGCAUUUUUAACUACCGAGCUAGAGAGUGUGUCAGAGGGAGGUGGGAAUUCCGCGUGUAGCAGUGAAAUGCGUAGAUAUGCGGAGGAACACCGAUAGCGAGGCGGCCUCCUGGGAUCGCUAUGACUGACGCUCAUGCACGAAGAAAGCGUGGGGAGCAAACAGGAUUAGAUACCCUGGUAGUCCACGCCCUAAACGAUGUCAACUAGCUGUUGGGGUAGCCCCGGGCCUUGGUAGCGCAGCUAACGCGUGAAGUUGACCCGCCUGGGAAGGUACGGUCGCAAGAUUAAAACUUUCAAAGGAAUUGACGGGGACCCGCACAAGCGGUGGAUGAUGUGGAUUAAUUCGAUGCAACGCGAAAACCUUACCUACCCUUGACAUGUCUGGAAUCGAAGAGAUUUGGGAGUGCUCGCAAGAGAACCGGAGCACAGGUGCUGCAUGGCGGCUGUCGUCAGCUCGUGUCGUGAGAUGUUGGGUUAAGUCCCACAACAGCGCAACCUGUCAUUAGUUGCUGAGGGCACUCUAUUCUGCCAAGGACUGCCGAGUGACAAACCGGAGGAAGGUGGGGAUGACGUCAAGUCCUCAUGGCCCUUAUGGGUAAGACUUCACACGUCAUACAAUGGUCGGGACAGAGGGUCGCCAACCCGCGAGGAGGCAAUCCCGAAACGAUCGUGAUCCCGGAUCGCAGUCUGCAACUCGACUGCGUGAAGUCGGGAUCGCUAGUAAUCGCGGAUCAGCAUGUCGCGGUGAAUACGUUCCCGGGUCUUGUACACACCGCCCGUCACACCAUGGGAGUGGGUUUACCAGAAGUAGUUAGCCUAACCGUAAGGAGAUGAUUACCACAGUAGGAUUCAUGACUGGGGUGAAGUCGUAAUAGGUAG